rnacentral:rRNA from 1 species
UACGAAGGGGGCUAGCGUUGCUCGGAAUGACUGGGCGUAAAGGGCGCGUAGGCGGCUUGCACAGUCAGGCGUGAAAUUCCUGGGCUCAACCUGGGGACUGCGCUUGAGACGUGUGGGCUUGAGUGGGGAAGAGGGUCGUGGAAUUGCCGGUGUAGCGGUGAAAUGCGUAGAUAUCGGAAGGAACACCUGUGGCGAAAGCGGCUCACUGGACCAUUACUGACGCUGAUGCACGAAAGCUAGGGGAGCAAACAGG